AGUGAACGCUGGCGGUAGGCCUAACACAUGCAAGUCGAACGGCAGCACAGUAAGAGCUUGCUCUUACGGGUGGCGAGUGGCGGACGGGUGAGGAAUACAUCGGAAUCUACUUUUUCGUGGGGGAUAACGUAGGGAAACUUACGCUAAUACCGCAUACGACCUAUGGGUGAAAGCAGGGGAUCUUCGGGCCUUGCGCGAUUGAAUGAGCCGAUGUCGGAUUAGCUAGUUGGCGGGGUAAAGGCCCACCAAGGCGACGAUCCGUAGCUGGUCUGAGAGGAUGAUCAGCCACACUGGAACUGAGACACGGUCCAGACUCCUACGGGAGGCAGCAGUGGGGAAUAUUGGACAAUGGGCGCAAGCCUGAUCCAGCCAUACCGCGUGGGUGAAGAAGGCCUUCGGGUUGUAAAGCCCUUUUGUUGGGAAAGAAAAGCAGCAGGUUAAUACCCCGCUGUUCUGACGGUACCCAAAGAAUAAGCACCGGCUAACUUCGU
rnacentral:rRNA from 1 species